rnacentral:rRNA from 1 species
AUUGAACGCUGGCGGCAUGCCUUACACAUGCAAGUCGAACGGUAACAGGUUAAGCUGACGAGUGGCGAACGGGUGAGUAAUGUAUCGGAACGUGCCCAGUCGUGGGUGAUAACUGCUCGAAAGAGCAGCUAAUACCGCAUACGACCUGAGGGUGAAAGCGGGGGAUCGCAAGACCUCGCGCGAUUGGAGCGGCCGAUAUCAGAUUAGGUAGUUGGUGAGGUAAAGGCUCACCAAGCCGACGAUCUGUAGCUGGUCUGAGAGGACGACCAGCCACUCUGGGACUGAGACACGGCCCAGACUCCUACGGGAGGCAGCAGUGGGGAAUUUUGGACAAUGGGCGCAAGCCUGAUCCAGCCAUGCCGCGUGCGGGAAGAAGGCCUUCGGGUUGUAAACCGCUUUUGUCAGGGAAGAAAAGGUUCUGGCUAAUACCUGGGACUCAUGACGGUACCUGAAGAAUAAGCACCGGCUAACUACGUG